CUAGGGUGCAAGCGUUGUCCGGAUUUAUUGGGCGUAAAGAGCUCGUAGGCGGCUUUGCAAGUCGGGUGUGAAAACCCCAGGCUUAACCUGGGGACGCCACUCGAUACUGCAAUAGCUAGAGUUUGGUAGGGGAUCACGGAAUUCCUGGUGUAGCGGUGAAAUGCGCAGAUAUCAGGAGGAACACCGGUGGCGAAGGCGGUGAUCUGGGCCAAUACUGACGCUGAGGAGCGAAAGCGUGGGGAGCAAACAGGAUUAGAUACCCUGGUAGUCCACGCCGUAAACGUUGGGUACUAGGUGUGGGCCGCUAUCAACGUGGUCCGUGCCGCAGCUAACGCAGUAAGUACCCCGCCUGGGGAGUACGGUCGCAAGACUA
rnacentral:rRNA from 1 species